GACGAACGCUGGCGGCGUGCUUAACACAUGCAAGUCGAACGGAAAGGCCUCAGCUUGCUGGGGUACUCGAGUGGCGAACGGGUGAGUAACACGUGGGUGAUCUGCCUUGCACUCUGGGAUAAGCUUGGGAAACUGGGUCUAAUACCGGAUAUGAACUGCCUUUAGUGUGGUGGUUGGAAAGUUUUUUCGGUGCAAGAUGAGCUCGCGGCCUAUCAGCUUGUUGGUGGGGUAAUGGCCUACCAAGGCGUCGACGGGUAGCCGGCCUGAGAGGGUGUACGGCCACAUUGGGACUGAGAUACGGCCCAGACUCCUACGGGAGGCAGCAGUGGGGAAUAUUGCACAAUGGGCGGAAGCCUGAUGCAGCGACGCCGCGUGGGGGAUGACGGCCUUCGGGUCGUAAACUCCUUUCGACAGGGACGAAGCUUUUUGUGACGGUACCUGUAUAAGAAGCACCGGCUAACUACGUG
rnacentral:rRNA from 1 species